UCUGGUUGAUCCUGCCGGAGGUUACCGCUAUUGGAGUUCGAUUAAGCCAUGCGAGUCGCGAGAAAUUAGAUUCUCGGCGUACCGCUCAGUAACACGUGGGUAACCUGCCCUAUGCUGGAUAAUAACCUCGGGAAACUGAGAAUAAUGAUCCAUAGUUCACUACGCCUGGAACGGUGAGUGGAUGAAAGCUCCGGCGGCAUAGGAUGGGCCUGCGGCGUAUCAGGUUGUAGGGGGUGUAACGUACCCUCUAGCCCUCUACGCGUACGGGUGUUGGGAGACAUAGCCCGGAGAUGGAUUCUGAGACACGAAUCCAGACCCUACGGGGUGCAGCAGGCGCGAAAACUUGGCAAUGCGAGAAAUCGUGACCAGGGAACUCCAAGUGCAUCGGGUAAGACCGGUGCUUUUCUUGACUCUAAAAAGGUCUUGGAAUAAGGGGUGGGUAAGGACGGUGCCAGCCGCCGCGGUAAUACCGGCGCCUCAAGUGGUAGUCGCUUUUAUUGGGCCUAAAACGUCCGUAGCCGGUCUGAUACAUUCGUGGGUAAAUCAACCAGCUCAACUGGUUGAAUUCUGCGAGGACGGUCAGACUUGGGACCGGGAGAGGUGUGGGGUACGCUCAGGGUAGGGGUAAAAUCCUGUCAUCCUGAGCGGACCACCUGUUGCGAAGGCGCCACACUAGAACGGAUCCGACGGUCAGGGACGAAGCCUAGGGGCACGAACCGGAUUAGAUACCCGGGUAGUCCUAGGUGUAAACGCUGUGGACUUGA
rnacentral:rRNA from 1 species